CGUUGUCCCCCCCUCCCGUUUUCAGCGACAUUCGCUCGCGGGUAACGGGUGGUCGGGGGCGUACAUUGGCCUCCCGCUCGCUCGUCGCGCACGGCCGGCCCAAGUUUGCUCGUACUCCGUCGGCGUCCGUCUCAUGCCCGCAGCGUGGUUGGUUGAUCACUCGACUCGCUCGUCUCUGCGCGUGCUGGCCGGCGCUCCGGAUCCGGAGUACGCCCUAUUCUCUCUGCGGGAGCACAACAGGGUGCUUGCCUUCCAAC
rnacentral:misc_RNA from 1 species